rnacentral:rRNA from 1 species
GACGAACGCUGGCGGCGUGCUUAACACAUGCAAGUCGAACGGAAAGGCCCUGCUUUUGUGGGGUGCUCGAGUGGCGAACGGGUGAGUAACACGUGAGUAACCUACCCUUGACUUUGGGAUAACUUCAGGAAACUGGGGCUAAUACCGGAUAGGAGCUCCUGCUGCAUGGUGGGGGUUGGAAAGUUUCGGCGGUUGGGGAUGGACUCGCGGCUUAUCAGCUUGUUGGUGGGGUAGUGGCUUACCAAGGCUUUGACGGGUAGCCGGCCUGAGAGGGUGACCGGCCACAUUGGGACUGAGAGACGGCCCAGACUCCUACGGGAGGCAGCAGUGGGGAAUAUUGCGCAAUGGGCGGAAGCCUGAUGCAGCAACGCCGCGUGCGGGAUGACGGCCUUCGGGUUGUAAACCGCUUUCGCCUGUGACGAAGCGUGAGUGACGGUAAUGGGUAAAGAAGCACCGGCUAACUACGUG